GGAAUCACCUGGGCUACCUGCUGGGAACAGAAGGCCCUACGGCCACACCGCCUCUCCCCCAUUUAGUGCUUCUCUGGGAGGAUGCGUGAGUGAUUCUGCCUCUCAGAGCCUUGGGCUCCUCAUCUGUACCGCGGGGAUGCACACCAACUCUGCAGGUUCUGAGGGUGAAAUGAGAUCAGCAGGACAGAGCUAAUCCCCACGUGCAGCUGAGACACUGAGACCCAGAGCAGGAAGGAAGGACUCUGAUACUGUUCAGGCAGCCACAAUGUGAUGGAGGUGUCGUACGCCUGAGUUCUUCAGGACACCCCAGGAGGGAGGACACUGAGAUCCAGGCCCAAGGAAACAGGACAUGUAAUUGAUCGUCCAAAUAGAAUACUUUUGAGGGUGAAAGGACCCUGUACGGCUAACGAGGUCACCCCUCCCCUCCGUGAGUGAGCAGAGCCCAGGCGCGAGCCAUGAGCAGGAACACCAGCUCUAGGCGCUUCCCUGCUGGAGGUAGGUAGCAGUGACCCCAAAAGGGGGGUAGGGGUGCCAGGGGUGUGCCCUUCCCUCCGCCAUGACCCCCCUUGCAACCCAGGCCGGCCCAGGGUGCAGGCUCUGAGGAUGGGGACCU